rnacentral:lncRNA from 1 species
AGCAGCGUCACCUUGUUGCCCUCUUCUGAUGGAAAGGCUGCUUCAUCCCUGUCUCAGUGACAUCUAGGAGAAACACCCCCACGUGCAGCUUCACACAGGACAGCUGUGGCUCCCCAGAGCCCCCUUUGCCCGCUGUGCUCUUUUCCGGGAGAGGCUGAGAGAGAGCGGUCUUAGACUUGGAAGAAGGUGAUCUCUCAGCAGUGAAGUUACUCUUACUUGAUUUCCCUCUCAUGCGCUUCGUUGUUUCACGAAUAACACCAAUUGUUUGACGCCCCAACUGGUCCCUCACUGGUAGGUGUGAGCCUAACCCUCUCCCUUUUAAGCAUGGGGACUUAGAGACACGUUCACAGUCACUCAGUGAAUUGGUGAUGCUGUUUUUCUUCUCGUUUCCCAUUCAGAUUCCAGUAUUUCCACUGUGAAGGAGUUUCUGGGAUGGCAGGCUGACUUUUUUUGAUUGAACCAAGUGGCAUUCCCAAAAUGGCAAGACCCAACAAGAGAGGAGAGCUUUCUUCAGGGAAUGAGGGACACCCAGGUGUGCAGGGCAAUGCUGCUCGGGAGCGGAGAGCUGCUUGCAGCAGAUGAUGGAGUUCCCUGGAGAUGGGAAGCCUCUCGGUUCUAUCCAUACAGCUGUCAGAGGAGCCCUUCAAGCCAGUCCUCAUGAGGCCUAUUCCUCUUGCCAGCACAAAGGCAGCCUGUUAACGUUGAGCAAAGCGGCAAGAACCCACUGUGCUUGGUGCUAUGCAUGAGGAAGAGUCUAUCCCCAUCCAAAGGGCUGCUGAUGUGGAGGCACAUUGUUAAAGGCAAGGAAAACAGCAUUCCACCACCUGAUGAAGAAUCAGCUUAGCUUGGGUGUUGAAGGCGGUGCCUUUAUUCCCUGCAGGCCACUUCAGUUUUGAGAGCAAAGAGCCUUCACUGGUCAUAGACACUCCUGCCCCAUUCUAUGCCAUUGUCUGGCCUUCAGAGUAGCCCUUCAAAUGUAAGGCCAUGAACUCCCAAUGGUGAAAAUAUUCCAGGGCUUGUCAGGGCAUGUUGUGGCACCACUGCCUCCGUCCUCCAGUCUCUGCGGGUCAGCGCCCUCCCUCCCUCUGCAAGUGCCCCAAGCCUGCCUGGAGAGCCUGCUGCUGUAUCCAGCCCUGCGCUCCCAGGAAUCAGUCUCUGAGCAGAGCUGGGAGGAUCCCCAGCCCCUGGAUGCAAUGCUUUUCCCUCAACAGUCGUGUACAUCACACAGCAGGUAUUCCUUUGCCUUGGCAGGG